rnacentral:lncRNA from 1 species
GAACGUUGAAGAGAGGAAGAUAUAUCUUAACUUUUCUGAUUUUUUUUUCUCUUUAAUAUUAUUAUUAAACUCCUAUUUUGUGGUUGGAUAAUAGAAAUCAUGGAUUGCAAAUGAGGAUCGUUGAUUAAUCUUGAUCUAACAAUCAAGAUUAAUUCAAAGAAGCACACCAAGAAGCACACAUUAUUAAAUAAAUUAAAAUGCCUAUAAUGCCCUUUUUAUAUGAUUUAAUCAUUU